AUGGUUAAGUUAGAAAGGGCGCACGGUGGAUGCCUUGGCACUAGGAGCCGAUGAAGGACGGGACUAACACCGAUAUGCUUCGGGGAGCUGUAAGUAAGCUUUGAUCCGGAGAUUUCCGAAUGGGGAAACCCGCUGCACGUAAUGGUGCAGUAUCCAUACUUGAAUACAUAGAGUAUGGAAGGCAGAMCCGGGGAACUGAAACAUCUAAGUACCCGGAGGAAGAGAAAGCAAACGCGAUUCCCUGAGUAGCGGCGAGCGAAACGGGAUUAGCCCAAACCAAGAGGCUUGCCUCUUGGGGUUGUAGGACACUCUAUACGGAGUUACAAAGGAACGAAGUAGACGAAGAAGCUUGGAAAGGCUCGUCACAGAAGGUAAUAACCCUG
rnacentral:rRNA from 1 species